UACAGAGGGGGCAAGCGUUGUUCGGAAUUACUGGGCGUAAAGGGCGCGUAGGCGGCCUUCUAAGUCGAACGUGAAAUCCCUGGGCUCAACCCAGGAACUGCGUCCGAUACUGGAAGGCUUGAAUCCGGGAGAGGGAUGCGGAAUUCCAGGUGUAGCGGUGAAAUGCGUAGAUAUCUGGAGGAACACCGGUGGCGAAGGCGGCAUCCUGGACCGGUACUGACGCUGAGACGCGAAAGCGUGGGGAGCGAACAGG
rnacentral:rRNA from 1 species